UGUAAGGGAUGCUGCGUAUGGGAUUACUUUUGAAGUGUCACUUGAAGCAAAGUCAAAUGUGUUCCUGAGCGGGCAAGAAUUACUGGUUGUCGCUUCAAAACGAUAUCCAGUUGCCAGAGAAGGUGCGAGACCUGUACACUUUGCUUUAUUGGCGUUUCAUCGAAGUAAUCUCUUGAGUAAGGUUGAUCAGUAUCUCAACCUGAAGAGGUGGUAAAUUCCAUCUAAGGCUAAAUAUAUCCUAAACUUCGAUAGCAAACAAGUAGUGUGAACGAAAGUUGAAAAGAACUCUGAGGAGAGAGUUAAACUUAGACCGUGAAACCGUUAAGAGUCUAAAAAGCGGAAGGAC
rnacentral:rRNA from 1 species